CCUACGGGAGGCAGCAGUGGGGAAUUUUGGACAAUGGGGGCAACCCUGAUCCAGCCAUUCCGCGUGAGUGAAGAAGGCCUUCGGGUUGUAAAGCUCUUUUGUCGGGGACGAAACGGUUACGAUUAAUACUCGUGACAACUGACGGUACCCGAAGAAUAAGCACCGGCUAACUACGUGCCAGCAGCCGCGGUAAUACGUAGGGUGCGAGCGUUAAUCGGAAUUACUGGGCGUAAAGCGUGCGCAGGCGGUUUUGUAAGCCAGAUGUGAAAUCCCCGGGNUUAACCUGGGAAUGGCAUUUGGGACUGCAAGGCUAGAGUAUGGCAGAGGAGACUAGAAUUUCUGGUGUAGCAGUGAAAUGCGUAGAUAUCAGAAGGAAUACCGAUGGCGAAGGCAGGUCUCUGGGUCAAUACUGACGCUCAUGCACGAAAGCGUGGGGAGCAAACAGGAUUAGAUACCCUGGUAGUCCACGCCCUAAACGAUGUCAACUGGUUGUUGGGAGAUUUAUCCUUNUUAGUAACGAGCUAACGCGUAGAAGUUCGACCGCGUGGGGAGUACGGUCGCAAGAUUAAACCNGAAAGUGUAGUAGAGCGUGAGACGUGCGACGGACGACGACGAGGGAGGAGG
rnacentral:rRNA from 1 species